GCAAGUUUUAUAUUAAACUUACGGUUGUCAUUUGAUAUCAAUUAUUUAUUUAUUUCAUCUACCGAUUCUACCAAAUUUUUGUAUUUUAUCUCCAAAAUAUUGGGAAAACUUGAGGACUUAUAAACACAUGAUGAAAAUUAUAGCCAUAAAAGGCAAUAGUUGGAUGCAAUUUUUACCGGUCAUCUUUUCCAUCAAAAAAGGAUUUUCGAUGGAUUUUAAUAAAGUUCGGAGGAGAAAUUAGCCGCAUCAUUUAAGUAGAACAUAUAUGACUCGUCGUAAAAAUUGUAAAAUUUUUUUUAUAUUUAACAAAUAUAGUUGCUUAUUUUAAUUUGUAUGCGUAAAA
rnacentral:sRNA from 1 species